GGAAGUUUGUAAUGGCCCGAGGCAACGCCGAGGGCCAUUACAGACAUCCGAGGCCAUUAUUACUGACCGAGGACAUAUAACAGAGCCAUUAUAAAAACACCCAUUUCUUGAUACAUUUAUUAACCAACUGAAUAAAAGUGUAUGUGUUAAUAUACCAAAUAUCCAAGAUAUUAAGUUGACAGAAGUUAUGUGUUGAAAAACAGGAGGAACAGUGAUCCCUAUAUAUGGUUCUUUAAUGUUGGUUGCUGGUUACUAAAUUAAAUAAAAUAUAAAAAAGUAUUAUACUCUUGACAACUUAAUUUUAUUAACUUUAUUAAAAACCCUAACUGUGCUUUAUACAGACAAACCGGGCAUUAAUACAGGGUCAUUACAGAAAAACAGGGCCAUUACAGAAAAAACAGGGCCAUUACAGAAAAAACAGGGCCAUUACAGAAAAACAGGGCCAUUACAGAAAAACAGGGCCAUUACAGAAAAAAACAGGGCCAUUACAGAAAAUAUGUUAUUUUUAAUAACCAGUCAUUUUUGGCAAUAAUGUACUUAGUUGGUUAAUAAAAAACAGUUAUAAGCAAACUAAUUGAUAGUCAUUGUACAUGUAUUCUAAACUAAAUAACAUUUACGG
rnacentral:lncRNA from 1 species